ensembl:lncRNA CHASERR CHD2 adjacent suppressive regulatory RNA
CACCCCGAGCUGUCAGGCGUUCCGCCGCGGCCGCGAGGCCCGCCGGCCGGCGGGGAGCUACGCCCGGACGGCCAGCAGGCCCGCGGGAGUGGGGCUGCCGCGGCUGAGGCGAGGCGGGCCGCGCGCGUCGGCGUCACAGCCCGCGGCAGAGGCGCCCAGGGCGGCCGGGCCCACGACGCCGAAAGCGCCGCUGCGGUUGCCGCCUCGGAGGCUCCCCCGGGCCCCGGCGGCUGGACCCGGCGCGGGCGGGAGGCUCGGGCGGGCGGUCCGGCCCGGGACUCGGGUUUGGGCGACCAGGAGGUGCCGGUGGCCGCGCUCGGACCCGGUGACUUAAGAGAUUAAAAUUAAUUUGGUUGCUGUUGGUUCUGAACAAAUAAUGAGUUCUUUUAUUUGAGGUAUGCCAUUUUGAAGACUGAGACGUUGGAGUUUUAUCCUAGAGGAUAAAGGAAAUCUUUGGGAAAGUCAGUAUUUUAUAUAGCAAAAAUAUGAACCUCAAACUGAAUCCUCUAAAGGCCCCAUACAAUGAAGUAGACAUUGGUGGAAACAUUUACACCCAGUCAGCUUGAAGAGUUUCAAAUGGACCCUACCACUGAGAAAUCAAGAUGGCAGUCUACUAUGGGGAAUUGAGGAAAAAUGGAUUAAUACAAGAGUCCUGUGAUAAUAUACAACCAAGACAGGGUUCUUUUAACAUGGAUUCCAUGCAGUGAAUGAAGACAUAGGUUUCUUACCCAACACAAAUGGACAGUGGAUUUGACUUUCUAAAGACUUUUUUUGUGGACAUUUUGACAUUUGGAGAAGAAAG